GAAAUGCGAUAAGUAGUGUGAAUUGCAGAAUUCAGUGAAUCAUCGGAUCUUUGAACGCACAUUGCGCCCCUUGGUAUUCCAUGGGGCAUGCCUGUUCGAGCGUCAUCUACACCCUCAAGCUCUGCUUGGUGUUGGGCGUCUUUGUCCCGCCUCCGCGCGCGGACUCGCCCCAAAUUCAUUGGCAGCGGUCCUUGCCUCCUCUCGCGCAGCACAUUGCGCUUCUCGAGGUGUUGCGGCCCGCGUCCAGAAAGCAAUCGUUACCGUCUUUGACCUCGGAUCAGGUAGGGAUACCCGCUGAACUUAAGC
rnacentral:misc_RNA from 1 species